AUGGACAAAAUAAACUGCAUUUUGCUUACUGUCUUCAUUGUCAUAACCGUUUCCUGCAAUUAUGGCGAUGCACUGAUAUGUUAUAACUGUGAGCAAAGCCCAUUCCUGUGUAGGUCGAAUGUCACUUGUCGUGGAGAUGAAGAUACCUGCUUACAAAUCAGAUAUUUAAAUUUGAGAACCUAUAGCUGUUGGAAAACAUCACGCUGCACUGCCCGUGAGGUUGCUGAGCACUUUGAUGCUGACAGUUUUCGAUUCCUUUGCUGCCACAGAGAUUUCUGCAACAACGCUCCAAGCAUCUUGUUCCGUUCGGCUCCCCUUGGUAUUUCUGCAGUGACUGCGAUUUGGAUGAAAUACCUGUGACACAGAUAUUUAAAGAAAUGUGUUCUCUGUAUAACACAUCCAAUGAUUCGCACUUUUGAGUUGGUAUGUCUAUUGCAAUUAUUUGCAGAAGGGUCAACUUGUCUUCAAAAAGAAAAAGGCAAAGAUACAUUAGAGAACAACAGAAGGAAGACUGGCAUGUUAAGUUGCUUCUUUAAAAAUAAGUAAUGUCGAAGUAUUGUAAAUAUGGCAGUUAACCAGAAAAUGCACUCUUGAAUACAAAAAGCUUAUUUUCUACCAAAUAUUCUUAGUUAGUGAUGCUUUGAUAUAUUUUGAAACUGGUCAAUCUUAGAGCUUGGAAGUAACUCACUGAAAAUAACUAGUUAUCCUAAUUUGUAAUUUCAACAAAUUUUUGAAACAGACUACUAAUUAUUUCAAAGUAACAUUUAACUUUUCCAUUAUUUCAAUUCAAGAACAUUUUUAGUAAUUUUAAAUGCAUUUCUAAAUAGUAAUAAUUAACAAACUAUCAAACAUAUCAAUUUUGAAAAAUGCCUUUAAUGAUUUGAGGCUAAUCUAUUAAUGUCGCCUACCUCAGUGAUGUUUAUUUAAUAGCUAUUAGCCUGCUUUAAAUGGCUCCCAUGAUAUCAAUAAACAGAUAAGUAGUUUUCUGUGCACUACCAAGAAUUAAUGUUUGUACUAAUGGGAAAAAUAAUUUCCAUUCUGUAUGGUAAGCCACCACAAAGGAGUGGCAUGCAACAUACAGUUAGCCACCACAGAGUAUGACCUUUAAUUUAAAGCAACCUCUUCUUAACAGAGGGACGAAAAUAAUGUUUCCUCAUUAUUGGCUAUAUCACUUAGGAUUCCUGAAAAUUGCAGUUUAACAUCAAGAGGUCACAUGAUUCCACUCUUUGACUUAAUGGCUAUGAUCCAUAAGUCAUCUUUACCUGUGUGGUGUUUUUCAUCUAUAGGGCUUUGAAGACAACAGAUAAGUAAUUGGCAAUAAAAUCAAAGACAAGUUAAUAAUAACAUGUCAUACUGAGUGUUUGCAUUCACUGUGUGGUGUUUUUCAUCUAUAGGGGUUGAAAUUUGUUUUAUCCAAAAUCCAUUUCUAAUUAAUGUGUAGCCUACAGCUGAUAUUAGAAGAAGCUACAUGAAUGAUAGCUCACUGAUAGAGACAAACAUCUGCAAAGGUUGAAAUUUGUUUUAUCCAAAAUCCAUUUCUAAUUAAUGUGUAGCCUACAGCUGAUAUUAGAAGAACCUACAUGAAUGAUACCAAAG
ensembl:lncRNA